CAAACUUAAUUGUCCGACCUCAUAUGACUUGGGUAAUUAUUCUUAUUUAAUAGUUGACAACUGAGACUUAUUCAAGAGGUUAUAUAAUGUGCCCAAUGUCUCAUAGCUCAGAAGUAACAAAGCAAGGACUGGAAUCUAUGUCUGUAUGACUGUAUAUCUGUAUAGCCUAUGUUCUUUAAUAUUGUAAACAUUUGAGGGGAGUGGGGAGAAAGAGAUCAACUGUUGAAAUGGUUUUGUAACUUGUUUUUGUUUCUUCUUACUGGAACAUUGUUAGCAUUUUAAUAAAACCCACACUCUUAUCACUGUAACAUACUCCAUCGUUUCAAUAAAUUCUUUGGUUUCAGAUAGGGAGCCCCAUUCAAGUGUCAAAGUAUAACAACACCUCUAGAUGCUCCCUUUUAAUUCAGUGGCCUUUCCCUCAUUAAGGAAGGAGUAGUAAAAGUGUUUCAUCUCUUCCCUUUAGGGAGAGACUGACAUAGCAGAGAGCAAAGUAGUCAAUGAUUUGCUUUGUAAAAAUUGAAUUUCAGCUAUAUAAUGAAAUGUUUACAAAAAAGUUUUGAUUACUGAGAGCCAGAAUUUCCUGUCCUGAAGAGUGGAAGAGUUACCUUAGGUAGUAGAAGGGGAGGCAUGACACAGGUCUAGCAAGAGGAAGUCGUUCUGGAGCAUCCAUAACCACGGGCUCCCAGUUUCUGAAUUCUGGCUCUGACUUUACUAGCUAUCUGACUUGGGCAAUUAUAUUUAAUCUCUAUCCUUCUGUUUUCUAAGAUAUUACUAACUUUUAAAGUUGAUGCAGAAAUCAAAUGAAUUAAUAUUAAGAAAGUGCUCAGAACAGUGCCUGGUACAUAGUAAACCCUCAAAUGUUCAUUCUUUCUCCUCCCUUCCCUUCUUCCUCCUCUUUCUAGGCUGAUAUGUGUUCCUGACAUCAGAGCACGUAUCCUGCACUUCUCCUCUACCAAUUAUUUUGAGAAUCUGAGAACAGAAAAUACCUAUUCCUGCUGCCUGGAAGAUGGCUGUGCUCCUGAGGUGUCUUCCUUGGUCUUCUCUAUCAACCAGGAGAGGAACCAAACCAGCAACCUUGCCACCAUGAUUAUGGGUACAAAUAUGGUCCAUAAAACAGGAGCUAGAGAUUCUCCGUUCACCAUCUCCCAGGAACUGGAUACCCCACUCCCCCACACCUUUGGGACCUUGGAAUUAGACGAGACUACCAAACUAGGACUCAAAACCUUAUUUGAAGAAAAGAAACCAGGGUCCUUGCGGGUAAAGGUGACAUUUUCCUAAGGAAAGGAAGGUGGAGUUUCUCCACUUUGAGACCUGAAGAAGAGGAUGCAAGAGGGACAAUGAACGAAGCACAGUGCUGGAGAACCCAGUUAGAGGGCUGCUGGAGGAGCCUCUGAAGUACAGGGUCAUGAAGGUCUAGGCCACCAGCUGGCUACCCUCAUGCCGCCCGAGGGAGAAGUGAGAUUUAACAUGUUCAAUUCUCCUAUGUAGAGAGUGAUUCCCCUCUGGAAAUGUCCUACCCUUUUGCUAAAGGAACAUAUGCUUUCUGCAAUGUUGGUCUUGUGAACACCAAAGACACAGAGUGGGAUGUGGUGGAAGGGUCCAUUCUUCCCAUCUCCUACCGGCCUCCAGUGAAGAUGAAGGGUCACCCUUGGGUAAACUGUGACUCUGAGCUCCAGCUGCUCAUUGCAGUAUCAGCGGAUGUCCCAGAGCCAGCUCCUGAAAGCUGAUGGCACCAAAGGAAUACCCUGGAAUGAAAUGGAAAAUCAACUAAGUCCCGUAAUUUAAAGAAUGCUGUUCCCAUAUAGGGAAUGUCGGUACCCAGCAAUCUCUUGAGCUAUUGUUUAAUAAAUGAUGUUGGAAUAAAUAGAAUAUAUGUUAAGAUUCUGGGUCAUACCAAAACCAAAAAUUAAGUCCAGAUGGAUUGAAUUGCUAACUGAAAAAAAACGUAGCAUGUGAAAAUUGAAACUAUCAAAUGUAAGGUAAAAAUAUAAGAGUUUUUUUUCCCCCUAUAAUCUUGGAGCAGUGCAAGCAAGAUAGGAAACUCAGAAGUUAUAAAAGGAAAAAAUGCCAGAUCAAACCACACAGGAAUUUCCAAAAGAUACCCUAAAUACAGUCAAGAUAUAGGGAACAUGCCAUCAGGAGAAAAUACUUAUAAUAUAGAGAGGGUGCCA